UUUUUUAUGGCCGAGAUUAGGCAGUAGAUUUUUAAUUUACCUACGGAUUUGUCCUUUGCGAU
rnacentral:tRNA from 1 species